rnacentral:rRNA from 1 species
CCAAUAGCGUAUAUUAAAGUUGUUGCAGUUAAAAAGCUCGUAGUUGAAUUUUGGAUUCUGCCAGUUGGUCCAUCUUUUGAUGAGUACUGAUUGUGUGGGGUCUAUCCGCCUGGUAAUACGUAAUGUACUUUAUUGUAUGUUACGGGUAGCCAGGACCUUUACCUUGAAAAAAUUAGAGUGUUUAAAGCAGGCUUAUGCCGGAAUACAUUAGCAUGGAAUAAUAGAAUAGGACGAAGUUGUUUUAUUUUGUUGGUUUCUAGGACAACCGUAAUGAUUAAUAGGGAUAGUUGGGGGCAUUAGUAUUCAAUUGUCAGAGGUGAAAUUCUUGGAUUUAUUGAAGACUAACUACUGCGAAAGCAUUUGCCAAGGAUGUUUUCAUUAAUCAAGAACGAAAGUUAGGGGAUCGAAGACGAUCAGAUACCGUCGUAGUCUUAACCAUAAACUAUGCCGACUAGGGAUCGGGCGAUGUUGUUUCCAUGACUCGCUCGGCACCUUAUG